CCCUUACGCUGUCGCCAUUUCCGACGCUGACAAUGACACCAUCUUUGAAUGCCUGACGACGAAGCGCAAGGACUUUGACCCCGAGGCGAAGACAGUAACCUAUGUGUGGUCAAUAAAUAAUGGUCCUGGUAAGAGGAAGCAUGUUGGUUUCCACCACACCGCUGGGGCAACGCCAGAUGCCACAAACUUUACAGUUGGCAAAAAUUCCGACAAGGUGGAAGUGGCGUAUGUAAUUUGGAGCGACUACAAAGACUGCGCCGUUACGGAAGUUCCGCACUUCGGAGACCAAUGCACGCUAUGGGUGUCGAAAGAAGUGGAGGACCUUGUACCCCUGUACUGUCUCGAGCAGUUUCACGACGUAUGUGGUGUCGUGGUACCCCUUCACGACAGCGACCUCUGCGAGGAUGACGACAAUGACGAGGAGGACGAAGAUGACUAGGUGCCCAAAGCACACACUGGA